GUCGUCACAAGAAGGCCCCGCCGCACAGGCGGCCUUUGAGGAGGCAGACAAUGUCAGAGCUGUGCCAGCAGCUUCAGCGUUUCUCGAGGAUUCACGCCUGUGUCCACACGUUCAGCCAGCGCACGCCGCGCACACGCGUGCUGGGCUGGCACCUGCGGGUCCUCACAGCGUCUGCCCGGCCACCCGCUCUCAGACCGCUGUCGGUGUGCGGAGGGAAAGUGUCAAAGUACUUAUCAGUUGACGCUAAAACCACAUCCUCCCGGGCGUAGUUGCAUUCCCUUUGUUCCUCACAGAGAAAUGCCCAUCCCGGAAUUGAGCAGCCUUUCUGACACCAAGAGGUGCGUGCCUUUCAACCUCGCUGGCAUCAGGACGAGGACUGUGCUUUUCCAGUCCAGCCUGUGUAACAGUCGGCAGAGGGAGCAGAGGGGACUGCCGCCUUCACAACUCCGGCUGAAUACCGGAGCUUCUGAGUCUAAUUUCAUUCAGAAUGCAGCAGCCAUUAGCUGCUUCUCUCUAGGAAACUUAACAUUCUGGAUUAUUCACAGAACUAUCAUUGCCCAAAGGAAUGAUCCACAGCCCCGGAUUCUCCCAUCUUCUCUGCUAUGAAAAAUCAGCCAGAAGAUGUCAUUCGGAAUCCUGUGCUGUAGUAGAAAACUAUUGCCUAUGAAUCAGUGCAAUGCCCUGGCCUUAAAAAAGAUGCAGUUUUAAAGAAAGGAUUCUUCUGGUUCUGUGGGGACUUCACUACGUGUAGACUUUCUAUCCUGUCGAUGCAGUCUUUUACUCUACAGCCCUUAUUCCCUGCAGGUUUGGGUAAGCUCAACUCUCCUGGUUUUGAAGUCCCUCAUUGUGAGUAAAAUGAAUUACUGAAGCAGUUCUCUCCUGUGGAUGCUUCACAAGAUGCAUAACUCUGUCCCCCGAGUUAACAACUUCCAGGAGACAUGCUGCAGUUUUUAGUGGAAGUAUGUUCGUGCUCUUCGCCCAGGACUCGGUGUGAGACCACACUCCUUUCCCUGAUAGCUCCACAUGAAAGGAGCUACCGUUCACCAUAAUUCUCUUUCAACAGAGCUGCUUCAGUUCGUAGACUCACUCUUUUACUGGAAGAAAUGCUCACAAACUCCCAUGUUCUAGCUUGUGUUCUCAUCAACCAGGAAGGAAGAUUCCUAAUACACAUGAUACUGAACUGAAUCCUCGGAAGGCCACUGUGUUAGUAGUGGGAUUAAGAACUGAACCUACAAUGGCUUCUCUAUAAGUAGAAGUCUCAGAAAGUAGCUUGAAAACGAUCAAACUGCUUCCAACUAACAACUGCACAACAGAAGCAAAUCCACUUUAUUGUUAAAGAAACAACAAAACCCAACCAAAAAUGGAAAAUUCAUGAAGGCUAGUAUGCAAUCAAAAAUGAUUGGGCAAGCAAAGAAGCACAGAAUUAUGACCCAUGGCCAGGAAAGAAAGUAACAAACAGAACUAGAAGUAAAAGAUAAAGUGAAACUGGCAAACAAAUCUGUUUGUCUGACAGGCACUUAUCCCUCCUGACUCCAGCAAGCAGGCCUGCCCCACCUGUGGCAUCCACAGACACACGGCCACCAACUCCAUGCCAGUUCUACAUUUGGCUUUUCCUUGGCACAGGGCAGCAGAGGCACAAACUAACCAAUGAACCUGACCCUGGAUGUGGACAAUAUCUGGGCAGAAAAGGUAAGCCUGGAAUCCAGCAGUCCCAGGGAAAAAGUACAGACUUGGCCAGCAACUUCAGGGACCCCACUGCUCCAUGCCCACAGUGACUGAAUGAAAGACAAGCAGAAAGCCACCGCAGAUGGAGCAGGCCAAACAUGGACCCUCCUCCAAAGUGUGUGCUCAGUCUGGGAAGAACACAGGUCCUGCUGUCCUCUGGGAGCAACCAAGCCCUAAAGCUAGGCAGAGCAAGUGACUGGCUGGAUCCUAAGGCUGCAGAUACUGGGAAUCAAACUCAUGACCUUGCACUUGCCAGGCAGGCACUGUGCCACUGAGCUAUAUCCCCGGCUUCAAACCCUGUCAAGAAGCCUUUGGCGCCUUCACAACAGUCAGAGGCUCCUGGUAAGAGAAACAGCCUACGGUGGCCCCUGUGGCUCCGGGUUCCCAAAGGGCCAGCCGGGGGUCUGCAGUCACUUGACAUGUACUGGAGGCCAUCAUUUGAACCCCUGGGGUCUGUCAAA